rnacentral:rRNA from 1 species
UACGAGGGGGGCAAGCGUUGUUCGGAAUUAUUGGGCGUAAAGGGCGCGUAGGCGGUUUGACAAGUCUGACGUGAAAUCUCUGGGCUCAACCCAGAGUCUGCAUUAGAAACUGUCGGGCUUGAGUAUGGGAGAGGUGAGUGGAAUUUCCGGUGUAGCGGUGAAAUGCGUAGAUAUCGGAAGGAACACCUGUGGCGAAAGCGGCUCACUGGACCAUAACUGACGCUGAGGCGCGAAAGCUAGGGGAGCAAACAGG